GAUCCUCCUGAGCCCAGCGUCAUAGAUGAUGAUCAGUUGGGUGGGUGGGUGGGGGUGGUUUCUCAGGUGGGGGUGCCAAGAUCUAGGGGAAGGGAGAGAUAACGGAGGAGGGGAGAGGGGGUCGAACAGGCGGAGAGUGAGCACUCGAUCCUCCUGAGCUCAGCGUCAUAGAUGAUGAUCAGUUGGGUGGAUGGGUGGGGGUGGUUUCUCAGGUGGGGGUGCCGAGAUCUAGCGGAAGGGAGGGAUAACGGAGGAGGGCGGAGGGGGUCAGACAGGCGGAGAGUGAGGAAUUUGAGAGAAUAUGGAUGGAGAGAGAGAGAGGGAGAGGCGACUAAAAGGCAAAGUGGGAAUAAAAAGGGAAAGAGUCUGAGGGCAAUAGGGAUUUUGAUAGGUUAUGAAGAAAGAUGAUGGGUUGGGAUUUUUUGCAUUUUUGGGAAUUAAGUGGGACUCUUUCUUUGCAAUUUUCUUAAUGCCCAUUUUGCAUUUUGAAAAUAAAAUAAAAUAAAAUAUUGUUUUCGAUCACAAUUUUACAUAAUUUAAGAGCAUCUUCAAUAUAAAUUUUAAAUAAAACCCCCACAAACAUAUAAUUCUUAAAUAAAAAAAAUAAAGGGUAAUAAGUCACUCAUGUAUCUUACCUUGCAAUGUAUAAAGUGUAAAAUAUUGUACUAAUUCAUUAUAUAUAAAUGAUUAUGGUGUGUUUAGACUUCUUUUAUUAAUUACUACAUAUUUUCUACACUCACAAUGUUUGUCAGCUCGUUAUAUAAUCAACUUGAUAAUGUUAAAUCCAUCAUGCAAUGCAUUUCCUUCCAAUUUUUUGUGAUAAACUAA
rnacentral:lncRNA from 1 species